rnacentral:rRNA from 1 species
UACGUAGGCAGCAAGCGUUGUUCGGAUUUACUGGGCGUAAAGGGUGCGUAGGCGGCCCUGUAAGUAUGGUGUGAAAUCUCCCGGCUUAACUGGGAGGGUGCGCUAUAGACUGCGGGGCUCGAGUGUGGGAGAGGAAAGUGGAAUUCCUGGUGUAGCGGUGAAAUGCGUAGAUAUCAGGAGGAACACCGGUGGUGUAAACGGCUUUCUGGACCAUAACUGACGCUGAGGCACGAAAGCGUGGGUAGCAAACAGG